rnacentral:misc_RNA from 1 species
UUUCCGUAGGUGAACCUGCGGAAGGAUCAUUCAUAAUAAGUGUUUUACUGCACUUUUUAAAAAUAGUACUCACCUUGUGUGCAAUGUUGAGUUUCUUUUCGGAGAAACACCUACACCAACCUAUAACCUUGAACCACUUUGUCUGAAAAACUAUUAUGAAUACUUAAUUCAAAAUACAACUUUCAACAACGGAUCUCUUGGCUCUC